rnacentral:sRNA from 1 species
GCUUGCCAGGCAGGCACUUAUACCACUGAGCUAUAUCUCCAGUGCGCUAUGCCAGUCGGGUGUCCACACUUAAGUUCGGCAUCAAUAUGGUGACCUCCCGGGAGUGGGGGACCACCAAGUUGCCUAAGGAGGGGUGAACCAGCUCAGGUCGGAAACGGAGCAGGUCAAAACUCCCGUGCUGAGCAGUUCCUGGAGUUCUGAUGCACAUGCCUUCCCCAUUAGGUACU